AUAUUGGACAAUGGGGGCAACCCUGAUCCAGCAAUGCCGCGUGUGUGAAGAAGGCCUUCGGGUUGUAAAGCACUUUAGUUGGGGAGGAAGGUUAGUAGUUUAAGAGAUGACUAAUUUGACUGUACCCAAAGAAUAAGCACCGGCUAACUCUGUGCCAGCAGCCGCGGUAAUACAGAGGGUGCGAGCGUUAAUCGGAAUUACUGGGCGUAAAGGGCGCGUAGGCGGUGUAUUAAGUUGGAUGUGAAAUCCCUGGGCUUAACCUAGGAACUGCAUUCAAUACUGGUACGCUAGAGUGUAGUAGAGGGUAGUGGAAUUUCCGGUGUAGCGGUGAAAUGCGUAGAUAUCGGAAGGAACACCAGUGGCGAAGGCGGCUACCUGGACUAACACUGACGCUGAGGCGCGAAAGCGUGGGGAUCAAACAGG
rnacentral:rRNA from 1 species